UACGUAGGGUGCGAGCGUUGCCCGGAUUUAUUGGGCGUAAAGGGUGCGUAGGCGGUUCGUUAAGUCUGUCGUGAAAUCCCCGGGCUCAACCUGGGAAUGGCGAUGGAUACUGGCGAGCUAGAGUGUGUCAGAGGAUGGUGGAAUUCCCGGUGUAGCGGUGAAAUGCGUAGAGAUCGGGAGGAACAUCAGUGGCGAAGGCGGCCAUCUGGGACAACACUGACGCUGAAGCACGAAAGCGUGGGGAGCAAACAGG
rnacentral:rRNA from 1 species